rnacentral:rRNA from 1 species
GACGAACGCUGGCGGCGUGCUUAACACAUGCAAGUCGAGCGGAAAGGUCCUUCGGGGUACCCGAGCGGCGAAUGGGUGAGUAAAACGUGAGUAACCUGCCCCAGACAUUGGGCUAAAGCUCGGCAAAGAGGGCUAAUACUGGACACGCCACAGAUUCAUAUGGGGUGUGUGUGGAAAGGUUGUCGGAUUGGGAUGGGCUCGCGGCAUAUCAGCUUGUUGGGGGGGUGAUGGCCUUCCAAGGCGACGACGGGUAGCCGGCCUGCGAGGGCGACAGGCCACACUAGGACUGGGACACGGCCCGGACUCCUACGGGAGGCAGAAGUGGGGAAUAUUGCACAAGGGGCGGAAGCCUGGUGCAGCGACGCCGCGUGGGGGAUGACGGCCUUCGGGUUGGAAACCACUGCCCUCAGGGACGAAGCGUAAGUGACGGUACCUGCAGAAGAAGCGCCGGCCAACUACGUG